rnacentral:rRNA from 1 species
CCCUAUGGGGUGCGCGUCAGCCGGGUGUAGAGGGGAUCCAGGGAUUUCUCGAACUGGCGCUGAGCUUCAGCCCGGAACCCGGGGUGACCGAGGUAGGCCUGCAGCAACUCCAACUGAGCCAGGAGAUCGCUGGGCGUUGUCUUACCGGAGAGCACAAAGGCAUCGUCAUCCACCCGCGCGUCCGCAUCCACGGUCUUGCCGGCAAAGAUGCGUUCCAGGUCAUCGUAGCUGUGCGCUUCCAGUCCGCCUGCGGUGAAGGCGAAGUUGAACAGGUUGGAGAGCCCGGGCUUGUCCGCGGGUUCUGAGCGCCGCCCCAGUCCAAAGCGCAGGGAGACGUUGAUGGUGUCCUUCUCGAAAUCGGUGACCUUCAGAUUGGCCCUCACUUCGUUGGCGAAGCGGAUUUGAGUGAUCCCCAAAUCCUGGACGGAUUGGCGGGGGGGC